CUCGCUGGAGCUGAGCUGACCGCCGAGCAGCGCUCCCACCGAGCCAAGGCCGUUUCGGCUUCUCACUGUCAGCCUCGCCUCCCUUUGCGCGCUCGGACCCUCAGCGGCGCAGCUCCGCCCCGCAGCGCCCGGCAGCACGGAGCCCCGGGGCCGCCCACCGCCGGCACGGAUCUCCGGGGUCGAGCCGGAAGCUGCACGGCGGCGGCGACGGAGGGGCUGCGGUCGGCUGCAGCGGCGGCUCCUCUUCCAUCUCGAGCGGUGGAAGGAAUAGUUCUUGGAUCAGAACGUUUAGCUCGAAUUCCAGUGGAAACAGCCCUCUGGUAAG